UGCCACCCACGUAGAACUCCAAAUGUGGAUCCAAGGACUGCUGAGCUGUGAACACUCUAUUUGUAUAAUUUUGCCAGUGACCACCCUUAAACCUCAGAAGAAUCAAAGGAAAGCAAAGAUAUGCUGAAAUGUUUAAAAAAAAAAAGAGGGGAAAAAACCCAACCUGGAAGACACUUACAAGAAUGUACUUUGGCACUGUCUUCAUUUCCCAAGCAUCAUGAACACAAAACUGUAUGGAAAUUCACACUUCUACUAGAAUAUAAGGAAAACAGGGACACAUUACAGGCCAGCACAAAAUGGCAUGUGCAUCCCUGGAGAGCUACUUGGUCACCUCCUCAGCUGGACUCCUAAUUGCACAAAAUGAGAGGCCCAUCUCACAGCGUGUUCUGAUUCAUCUCGCACUGUGAUUUCAGCGCGCCAGACAUUCCAGGCUCAGGGCAAUGCCCAGAAUUCAGAGGAUUCCAAGGGCGAAGACCUUCGAGGCCCCAGAUGUGACGAGCAGGCCCAGAGUGUGCAAGCAGCCAGCUCUCGGAGGGCACUGGGAUGCACAAGAAGAAGCUGUUCCUCCCCGCCCCCCGCCCCGCCCCGCCUCUGCCCUCUGAAGACUUUCGUUUCUUUCCAUUUAGUCUAAGUCACCAUGAGGGCAGAUACAGGCUGACAAAUUCCUUGAACGCUCUCCGUGCAACAUGGGGCUGAAUGACCAGAAAAGCUGACCUCUCUCUGGUGUGUGAAGACGAUGUGAAAAAGUACAUCGAUCUCUAUUUUAAAUGCCCUACAGGAACUUACUUCUCUGAAACACUAUAUAUAUGAGGGGAGACCCAAAUACCCAGAAUUUAUUUAUAAAAAUUGUGUAGUUAUUCUUACAUAUUUAAAUUUCAGUCACCUUCAAAGUACUCUCCAUUUGAUGUGAUACAGAGAACUUUUUGCUACUGCUCAAAACAGUUUUGGAACUCAUUGAUUUUGCCUUUUGGUGCUCCUGUCAUUUUUUGUUUCCCUUCUUCCACACCAGCAAAAUGUUUCCUUUGAGGAAUUUUUUUUUCCUCAAAAAUUCCGGGGAAACAAACAAAAGUCUCUUGGGCAAGAUCAGGGGAAUAAGGAGGGUGAGGUAUGGGGGUCAAAAACUGCUGAACACAGCAUGGUGUGGGCAGGUGUGCCCAUAAAUCACCCAUCACAAAAUGGGCAAAUGCAUUGAAAAAGUCUUCAGAAAAAUUCACUGAAGCUGAACACAGCCUCUC